rnacentral:lncRNA from 1 species
UCUCAAUAUGCAACCUUGAAGCAAACUGCAGAAACCAUUGCCUUAGUCUUCAAGUAGAACCUUGAAAUAUACUUUGGAAUAUUUCAUUCAGUUUCCCACUGUACACAUCCAUGCCUUAUACACAUUUAUGUAACUGUAUGCUGGCUAAACUCACACCAUGCAUACUUAUCUAACUAUAUGCCUGUCAAAAAAAAAAAACCAGAAGCUAAUUUAAAAUGAAUC